AAUGGGUCAGCGACUUAUAUUCUGUAGCAAGGUUAACCGAAUAGGGGAGCCGAAGGGAAACCGAGUCUUAACUGGGCGUUAAGUUGCAGGGUAUAGACCCGAAACCCGGUGAUCUAGCCAUGGGCAGGUUGAAGGUUGGGUAACACUAACUGGAGGACCGAACCGACUAAUGUUGAAAAAUUAGCGGAUGACUUGUGGCUGGGGGUGAAAGGCCAAUCAAACCGGGAGAUAGCUGGUUCUCCCCGAAAGCUAUUUAGGUAGCGCCUCGUGAAUUCAUCUCCGGGGGUAGAGCACUGUUUCGGCAAGGGGGUCAUCCCGACUUACCAACCCGAUGCAAACUGCGAAUACCGGAGAAUGUUAUCACGGGAGACACACGGCGGGUGCUAACGUCCGUCGUGAAGAGGGAAACAACCCAGACCGCCAGCUAAGGUCCCAAAGUCAUGGUUAAGUGGGAAACGAUGUGGGAAGGCCCAGACAGCCAGGAUGUUGGCUUAGAAGCAGCCAUCAUUUAAAGAAAGCGUAAUAGCUCACUGGUCGAGUCGGCCUGCGCGGAAGAUGUAACGGGGCUAAACCAUGCACCGAAGCUGCGGCAGCGACGCUGAUGCGUUGUUGGGUA
rnacentral:rRNA from 1 species